rnacentral:rRNA from 1 species
GACGAACGCUGGCGGCGUGCUUAACACAUGCAAGUCGAACGGAAAGGCCCUGCUUUUGUGGGGUGCUCGAGUGGCGAACGGGUGAGUAACACGUGAGUAACCUGCCCUUGACUUUGGGAUAACUUCAGGAAACUGGGGCUAAUACCGGAUAGGAGCUCCUGCUGCAUGGUGGGGGUUGGAAAGUUUCGGCGGUUGGGGAUGGACUCGCGGCUUAUCAGCUCGUUGGUGGGGUAGUGGCUUACCAAGGCUUUGACGGGUAGCCGGCCUGAGAGGGUGACCGGCCACAUUGGGACUGAGAUACGGCCCAGACUCCUACGGGAGGCAGCAGUGGGGAAUAUUGCACAAUGGGCGGAAGCCUGAUGCAGCAACGCCGCGUGCGGGAUGACGGCCUUCGGGUUGUAAACCGCUUUCGCCUGUGACGAAGCGUGAGUGACGGUAAUGGGUAAAGAAGCACCGGCUAACUACGUGCCAGCAGCCGCGGUGAUACGUAGGGUGCGAGCGUUGUCCGGAUUUAUUGGGCGUAAAGGGCUCGUAGGUGGUUGAUCGCGUCGGAAGUGUAAUCUUGGGGCUUAACCCUGAGCGUGCUUUCGAUACGGGUUGACUUGAGGAAGGUAGGGGAGAAUGGAAUUCCUGGUGGAGCGGUGGAAUGCGCAGAUAUCAGGAGGAACACCAGUGGCGAAGGCGGUUCUCUGGGCCUUUCCUGACGCUGAGGAGCGAAAGCGUGGGGAGCGAACAGGCUUAGAUACCCUGGUAGUCCACGCUGUAAACGGUGGGUACUAGGUGUGGGGUCCAUUCCACGGGUUCCGUGCCGUAGCUAACGCUUUAAGUACCCCGCCUGGGGAGUACGGCCGCAAGGCUAAAACUCAAAGGAAUUGACGGGGCCCCGCACAAGCGGCGGAGCAUGCGGAUUAAUUCGAUGCAACGCGUAGAACCUUACCUGGGUUUGACAUGGAUCGGGAGUGCUCAGAGAUGGGUGUGCCUCUUUUGGGGUCGGUUCACAGGUGGUGCAUGGCUGUCGUCAGCUCGUGUCGUGAGAUGUUGGGUUAAGUCCCGCAACGAGCGCAACCCUUGUUCACUGUUGCCAGCACGUUAUGGUGGGGACUCAGUGGAGACCGCCGGGGUCAACUCGGAGGAAGGUGGGGAUGACGUCAAGUCAUCAUGCCCCUUAUGUCCAGGGCUUCACGCAUGCUACAAUGGCUGGUACAGAGAGUGGCGAGCCUGUGAGGGUGAGCGAAUCUCGGAAAGCCGGUCUCAGUUCGGAUUGGGGUCUGCAACUCGACCUCAUGAAGUCGGAGUCGCUAGUAAUCGCAAAUCAGCAACGCUGCGGUGAAUACGUUCCCGGG